UACGGAGGGUGCAAGCGUUAUCCGGAUUCACUGGGUUAAAGGGUGCGUAGGAGGGCAGGUAAGUCAGUGGUGAAAUCUCCGAGCUUAACUUGGAAACUGCCGUUGAUACUAUCUGCCUUGAAUAUUGUGGAGGUGAGCGGAAUAUGUCAUGUAGCGGUGAAAUGCUUAGAUAUGACAUAGAACACCAAUUGCGAAGGCAGCUCGCUACACAUAUAUUGACUCUGAGGCACGAAAGCGUGGGGAUCAAACAGGA
rnacentral:rRNA from 1 species